rnacentral:rRNA from 1 species
GACGAACGCUGGCGGCGCGCUUAACACAUGCAAGUCGAGCGAGAACCAGUCCUUCGGGAUUGGGGAAAGCGGCGAACGGGUGAGUAACACGUGAGUAAUCUGCCCUCGGCACCGGGAUAGCCCGGGGAAACCCGGAUUAAUACUGGAUGGCCUUUCGAGCCUUCGGGCCCGUCAGAAACGGUCGCUUCGGCUUCCGGCUGAAGAGGAGCUCGCGGCGGAUUAGCUUGUUGGCGGGGUAAUGGCCCACCAAGGCGACGAUCCGUAGCUGGUCUGAGAGGACGAUCAGCCACACUGGGACUGAGACACGGCCCAGACUCCUACGGGAGGCAGCAGUGGGGAAUCUUGCGCAAUGGGCGAAAGCCUGACGCAGCGACGCCGCGUGCGGGAAGAAGGCCUUCGGGUUGUAAACCGCUUUCAGGAGGGACGAGGCCACUCGGGUUAAUAGCCCAGAGGGUGACGGUACCUCCAGAAGAAGCCCCGGCUAACUACGUGCCAGCCGCCGCGGUAAAAC